GUGAAGUUCCUGCGCGGCCGCAAGUACCGCGUGGAAGAAGCCUUCAAGAUCAUCCGCAAGUAUUUCCGGGUCCGUUUGGAAUACACGGACAUUUUCGAUAAUCUACUGCCAUCACGCAUCAUGUUUGAUGCGAUAUUCCGCCGACACAAGCUGCUGACUCUUCUCAAGAAACCCGAUCCUCAGGGGAGGCGAAUAACCCUUUUCAAGCUGGGAAUGCUACCCACUCAGGAUCAAGGGUAUCUACUUAGUGAACAAUCCUGAAGUAUUUCAGCUCCUGUACGCAGUCGUCAAGUUGUUUCUGAACGCGAAGAUCAUCAAAAGGGUUCACUUUAUUGGACGCGACUACGACCAGCUUCAUAAACUUGUCCCCCGCGAACUGCUGCCCGAAGAAUACGGUGGUACCCUGGACAACUACGACUACGACGAGCUUGAGCGGGCCUU
rnacentral:misc_RNA from 1 species